rnacentral:rRNA from 1 species
UACGAAGGGGGCUAGCGUUGCUCGGAAUCACUGGGCGUAAAGCGCACGUAGGCGGACUCUUAAGUCGGUGGUGAAAUCCUGGAGCUCAACUCCAGAACUGCCUUCGAUACUGAGAGUCUCGAGUCCGGGAGAGGUGAGUGGAACUGCGAGUGUAGAGGUGAAAUGCUUAGAGAUGACAUAGAACACCCAUUGCGAAGGCAGCUUACUACGCCUAUAUUGACGCUGAGGCACGAAAGCGUGGGGAUCAAACAGG